rnacentral:lncRNA from 1 species
UGUAAUUGAACAUAAAGAAUAGACCAUUCUUUAAUCUUAUAUUAAAUUAAAGGAAUUACAAGUAGGAAAACCACUCCUUAUUAUACAUGUUAACUAUUAAGGAAUAGAGGGGGAAAAAAAGAAAGUUUUCAUAUGUAUUAAGAUGACCAAAACUCUAAUUAUUUCUGAGUUUGUCCCUUUUAGAGCAUAGCUAUGGUAUAGUUAUAAGCAAUUGUAAAGGGAUUACUUUAAAAUUCAUGAACACUUAGUUAUUCUCUCUUAACUGCACUUUCAGAGACUAUAGUCUUAUUGGGCUUCAGUCAUUAGAAGGAAUUCUAAAUAUAGAAAACAUGGUGUCAUGAACACUGUAAAAUUGGACGUUGAGAAUCAGGCUAUUGCAGGUUGGAUGCUUACUUCCUAGAGGACUAAGUUUCUAAUAGGCAUGCAUUUCUUAGGGACCAUAAUCCAUUUAAUCAUAGCCUUAAUGUUAACAUUAAUCUAUUCUAAGACUUUCCAGGAGUACUUAUCAGGAAGUGACAGAUGUUUUUUAGACUACAUAUUCUUGACUCUUUGCAUAACAAGAGAAAAACAAUCUUGUUUGGCUGGACAACAUGGAAGAACGAAUAAAAGGAGAGAAUAAGCUGCAAAUCCAAAGCCUUCAGGAGACAGAGAGCAUGACUGAAAGGUAUGGUGAAAAGGGAUAUUUCUGUCUUGGACAAGAGGGCUUUGGGACGGGAUGAUAAUUUAUUUGUAGACU